UACGGGGGGGGCAAGCGUUGUUCGGAAUUACUGGGCGUAAAGGGCGCGUAGGCGGUUUGCUAAGUUGAAUGUGAAAACUCUGAGCUUAACCCAGAGCCUGCAUUCAAUACUGGCAGGCUAGAGUUCUGGAGGGGAUAGCGGAAUUCCUGGUGUAGCGGUGAAAUGCGUAGAUAUCAGGAGGAACACCGGUGGCGAAGGCGGCUAUCUGGACAGAGUCUGACGCUGAGGCGCGAAAGCGAGGGGAGCAAACAGG
rnacentral:rRNA from 1 species